AAGCCUCCAGGGUACCCUCAGCGACGCCACACCAGAUCCCAUCGCCGCUGCCGUCGCACUCGCAUCCCUCCGCCGCCGCCCUCGCACAUCAAGCCGCCGCAGAUCCAUCCAUUUGCCGCCGCCCUCGCACAUGAAGCCGCGGCUGAUCCCUGCGCUACCUCGAUGGGAGCCAUCGACCGUCUCGCUACAACUUGAAGCUGCAACUUGGGUGGUGCCAUGACUCCUUGUGCAGAGAAAACAAGACGAGGGGGAGGUCAAGGAGGAGCAGCAGGAGUGAGGAAAAGACGGCGGCGGAGAAGUCCCUGCUCGCGGAGAGCUCGAUCGGUGGUGACGAACUCCGAACCGCAUGUUCUGGCGACAGAGGGCUUGAACCGGUCGAUGGGAAGACCUGUAGGCGCGCGGCGGCUGCGGUUUGGGACGGCGGCGAAGCUGCAACUCGGACGAUGCCAUGGCUUCCUAUGCAGAGAAAACGGGACGAGGGGGAGGUCAGGGAGGAGCAGCAGGAGGAGUGAAGAAAAAAGGGCGGCGGAGAAGGCCCUGCUCGCCGGAGAGCUUGACUGGCGCCAACGCUCACUGCAGCGGGAGUAUGCUCGGGCGUACCGGCAUGAGAGCUGCAGUUGGUGGGAAUUGGCUGCGGGCAUAGGAACCGUGGAUUGAUCCCACGUACACACAGGUCAUCAUAUAAGUGCAUCGAUAUGUAACGUGGUACAAUCAUGUUGAUGUACUCAUGAGAGAAGUUGCAUCACAUGCGGGCAUGAAGCAGAAGUUGCAUCACAUGCUCCACAUCCUAUCAGCGGACUUCCAAAGACUACAAGGAUGCGGAUUUGUUGAUGAUGGCUACAGAUGUUUCCAAGUAAGGCGAACGUGCCGUGAGGUGAUGCAUUGCCUCCAGUCCUUCUUUUUGGUAAAUACCUUCACUUCAAGUAAUUUCCACCUUCUUUGUUUCUACAUAUGUCAUGUUGAGUAUUUUUUCUGAAACAUACACACUUAAUCAUAAAUAUGCCUUCCUGUCAAUUUUUUUCAUCAUAAAUAUGCCUUUCUUUAAACGCAUCGUAAACUAUGGCCACAGGACCGACUGGUUCAUGCAACUAUCGUUUGCUCCAUAGUGAAGUGCCAUUGUUUGCUCUCUACUAGAGCAUAUCUCUACUCCUAAUGGAGCAGUUGGUAGUCUUCGUUCUGGCUUUUUUUCGUCCCACCUCCCACCUUCGUCGGGUUUUUUUUCGUCCUCCUCCCACCUCGCACUUUACAUCCCGCUCGCACGAUCCCGUAUCACAUAACCAAAGAAAAUCGGAUGACCACGUAGCGCCCCCCCCCCCAACGAAAGAAAGAUCGGGCGAACCACGGAACAAGGGUGCCCUCGCAUGAAAAAAACCGACGGGAACCACGUCCCGGCCGCCGUCGCCAAUCCAUCCCGGCCCACCUGCCUCCUUCCCGAUCCCAACCUCAUGAACCCUACCACGCCUCCAACCCCGCUGCCACCUCCUUCGACCAACCACUCCGUUCCAUGGAUCCACUUUGCGACAGCCAGUUCUCGCGGCAGUCGCCGCCCGCUCUUCUCCUCCUGGUCCACCUCCCCCACCAAGCUCUCUCUCCUAGAUCGUGAGCUGAUAACAGAGGCACAUAGGUUUCGGCUCCUCUACUAAUGGUGAUAUCAAGGGCUGGUGGAGGACGGCCAUCAUGGACACGUUGACGAGGCUGUUUCUUCCUAGACCCAAUUCUUCGACGAGUUGCUGGAGAAAGACAAGGGCUUGAGGGGGGUUCUACGAGUCAGAGCGGGAGACGGAGCGGUUCCUGAGCCUGGUAUGCGAGGCACUAGGGCAGGCAAGCGGUUCUUGGCAUGGCAGUGCUGAUGCAGCACGCUGGCUCACUUACAUGGACUAAGGGGAGGCUCGUGCACCGCUCAUCCGCGUACGUUCUCAACUGCCUUCUCGACUAGGUGCCGCCCGGACCACGCCUUUUCCAGAAAAUGUGUUACCUGGUCCCUGUCAAAAUGUUUCUUACCAGUACAAAUGUCUAUCGCAUUGCUGAAUAUUUUGUUGCAAUCAUACAAACUGCAGGCAGAUUCUCAAUCACAUCGGUUCAUGCACUUGUAUGCUUUUGUAAUUGCAGAAAUGUUGAAUUAGUAACUACAUGGUAUUCGGCUAUAUUCUAAAUCAGCGCUUCCGACGAGAUUCUUUAUUAUUCGGCUAUAUGAGUUAGUAAAUCAUGGUUUUCUUCUUCUACAUCUGGGCUUCUAUAGCUAAAUUCCUGCAUGUUAGAUAUACAGGCUGCAACGAGAAAAGUAAUCUUCUAUGGAGAGCCACCAAAUCAAAUUUAGAGAUUGUGUUUGUACACCCUUGUUAAGAGAUAUGGCAGGACAUGCAUUGGCCCUUUCUACUUGGUACUUGAAUCAAAUGGUGGGAGUCAAUUUUAUCCAAGAGCUAUGUCUGAUAUGUGGCCUAAUUCAGCUGGACUUGUAGUAUUCUCUUCUGGUGAUCGUCUUUUGUUUGAAACCCAAUUAUCAAAGUUGCUUCUUAAAAUUCCCCUACAAAUUGGCAUCUACAGGACAACAAUGAACAAUUUAUUUAAACUCCACAUGUGGAUCAUUUACUUCAAGCUCACAUAUUACCAACCAGAUCGAUAGUAUGUACAUUAUACAAUCACAUAUCUCAAAUUACUUGGGAAUUGGAACAUGUCUUGUUUUCAAUUGAAAAUGGUUACAACAAAUUAAAAAAGGAGUUCCCUGCUGAUAAAUGUGUUGAAAUAUGUGUGGUUUCUUACCCAAAUGGAAGUUAUCAAGCCUGUUCUUUAUGCAACAAAAAAUUACUCCAUCUGUAAAGAUAUAUAAGAGCAUUUAGAUCACUACUUUAGUGAUAUAAAUGCUCUUAUAUUUGUUACAGAGGGAGUAGCAGGUAUAUUUGACUAGAUGUGCCAAACUGUUGUGAGAUCCACUUCACAAAUUAGAGGUCGAUAUGUAGUGGAAGCUUUUGCAGGUCAUUUUCAAAGUUAAGUAUAUCUUCUUCGAUGUGAUGUUUCAUUUAUUCGCAUGCAUCGUGCUAACAUUUGUUGGUUUGUUUCUAAGUAGUAGUGCUACUACGGCGAUGCAUAAAUUCAGUGCCACUUCUCAAGCUCGUAGCCCUAGAAAAAUCACAAUGACGCAGUGCAGCAAUGAUUAUCUAGCCCUCCAAGCUGGAUGCAACAAGGUUACUCGUGAUCAAAACAGUUGAUGUCAGUUAAAAAACCGGUUCUGAUGCCAAUUGGCUUGAGGAAAUCAGCCAAGAUGCUUUGAAGAAAUUGCACGCUUUCUAUCAGUUCUGCAGACCACACACAAUCUUUGGCACUGUGAGAUUUGUCAUCUUUGGUUCCAAUUGACAUAUGUAGUUUUGAUGCACACUUCUUGAUGCGCUCUUUCUUAUGUUUACUGUAUUGUUAGAUCAUAGGGAUAACUUCAGUGUCUCUCCUGUCAAUGAAGAGCCUAGAUGAUUUUACUACUACGAUACUAAGAGUUACUAUAGAUUUUUAUCUCUUAUGAGUAAUAUUAUUUGGCAAAUAGAAAUAUACCUAGCCAUUUGUGUAUGAAAAUUUUACACUGUUACGUCUUUAAAAAAAUUCAAAAAUUUUCUCUUUCUGUGCACGCUUUGGCUGCUGCUUUAUGUAUGAAGAUUUACGUGGUAGGGCUGAAUCGACUGUUCAACAUUCAGAUUGAAAAGGUUGUAUUUUAUUCCCUGUGCUUUGAAAAAAUGCACCUUCUUAGUCCUUUAUACUUUACAAUCAUUUAGUAUAAAUUAUACUCUAUUUUGCAGAUCAACAAGCCAGGUUUUCCAUUGGUAGCUGGGUGAUUUUCAGUAGCAACUGGUGUAUUCUUAGUGGUCACAUUCCUGGUCAUGGUUUAUUAGGUUCAAAUAAUGGUGUUAUGGUGUGGAAAAUAUGGCUGAAGUCUAAAUACUUAAGUUUUGUUGUUUUCAGAACUUUAGCAUUGGAAUCUGUUUCGGAGCGGUGCCACUGACGUGUGCUUUAAUUAUCAGCUUCCUUCUUGGAAGUGUUGCAUUGAGGCUCCGAUGCUCCGGUGGGAACAACACACGCUCCUCGCUGCAUCUUAUCUCCUAUUUGUGAGGGCUAUCGUGGUCCAAUUAGCUUUCUUUGCACAUAUGCAGGCACUCAGCACAGUACACAUCUUCAGUAGCACUAGAAAUUCAUACUUAUUUAAUUGGCUUCCUUCUUCAGUGUUUGAUGAUUCAUUUUGAAGUGACCUGUUCUGAGAAGGCCCUUGGCAGCAACAAAAUGACUGGUGUUUGCAACAUUGUCCAUGUGUUAGUUCUCUGCUGUCAUAGCUCUAUUUAAGGUGUAUCAGCUUUGCAGUGGAUCAUGUUUUUCGUCGUGGGUCGAACUGAGGCCAAGACUGAUGAGUUGAAGGCGAGAACAAACUACUACUCUACCCAACAACUCAUACAGUUUCUGUUUUUUUGCCUAUUUUAGAGUUUUGCAGAAAAGGAAUACCAAACGGAGUCCAAACGGAAUGAAACCUUCACGACGCUCUUUCUUGGACUGGAGGCAAACCAGAAGACUUGGAGAUGAAGUUGUAGACGCAGCGAGGUAGCCCGUCAUCUCCACUUCGACAUCAUCUCCACUUCGUAGCCCAUCGGUCUUCAUUCAUUGAAGCCAGGGCAUUGACUGACUUUCAGCGAUCGCUAUAAGAAAGACAUAAAAAAAGUUCUCCUAAAUCUGUUCCUUUCCGUUACUACUACUUGGAAUUGGAAGUCUAGGAGCAGGACUAACCUUUUUCUUUCGUUUAAAUAAAGUCGAGAUGUAGCUUUCUCUAUCUCAAUAAAUUAUUCCACCUCCAUUCAUUGGAGAACAAAGUGUUAUCUGAUUAGAUCCUUGCUUCAAACUCAACCGAAUCAAGUUUCAAAAAUAGAUGUGGAAGAGGCAAAGGGAAGAGCGGGGUUGCCGAAUUGUUUCUCAGAGCCGGACGAAACAUCUAUCUCUAUUUACAAUGCCCCCAAGAAAACUUUGUCGAAAAAGGUUGUCAUCGUAAUAGGGAUUGCACCUCAACAUGGCAGCCCUUCAAUUCUGCCAAUUGUGUGUGACUUGUACUUUUCUAGGCUUCCUCUUUGCCUCAAGUGAUUAAACUCAUCAACUACACCAACC